rnacentral:snRNA from 1 species
CUAUUAUAUAUAUGAUUUUGUC